rnacentral:rRNA from 1 species
GGUCUAGUGGUUCCGCGCCGACAAUGUAGCGGGGCUCAAGCACACCACCGAAGACGCGGCAGUAGCUUUGCUACUGGGUAGGAGAGCGUCCCAUGCGGGGCGAAGCGGCGGCGCAAGCCCGCCGUGGACCGCAUGGGAGUGAGAAUGCAGACAUGAGUAGCGAAAGACGGGUGAAGAUCCCGUCCGCUGGACGACCAAGGGUUCCAGGGCCACGUUCAUCGUCCCUGGGUGAGUCGGGUCCUAAGGCGAGGCCGACAGGCGUAGUCGAAUGGAUGAACGGGUCGAUAUUCCCGUACCGGCAUGCAACCGACAAAACCGAAUCCGCGAGUACUAACCUCCGGGUCCGGGCUUACGUCUCCUUCGGGAGCCGGAUGCCCUGGCCUGUUGGGACCGUAACGGUAGUAGGUCAGCGCGGGAGUGACGCAGAAGGGUAGCCGGCCGCGGAGGUGGUCUUCCGUGGUCAAGCACGCAGCCCGUCCCACAGGCAAAUCCGUGGGGCGCGUGGGCGAGGUGCGAUGAUGGGCGCCGCAGGGCGCGAUAUCCGGUGAUCCCGGCUGCCGAGAAAAGCUUCGGCGUGAGGCGGCGUGCCGCCCGUACCCCAAACCGACACUGGUGGUCAGGUAGAGAAUACCAAAGCGAUCGAGCGAAUCCUGGUCAAGGAACUCGGCAAAUCACUCCCGUUCCUUCGGUUUAAGGGAGACCCCCGAUGGUGAAGCGGCUUGCCCGUGGAGCUUUUGGGGGUGGCACAGACCAGGGGGUAGCGACUGUUUACCAAAAACACAGGAGCGUGCGAAGGCGCAAGCCGCUGUAUACGCUCUGACGCCUGCCCGGUGCCGGAAGGUUAAGAGGAUCCGUCAGGCCUCGGCCGAAGCGGUGAAUUCAAGCCCCGGUAAACGGCGGUGGUAACUAUAACCAUCCUAAGGUAGCGAAAUUCCUUGUCGGGUAAGUUCCGACCUGCACGAAUGGCGUAACGACUUCCCCACUGUCUCGACCAGGAGCUCGGCGAAAUUGCAGUACGAGUAAAGAUGCUCGUUAAGCGCAGAAGGACGAAAAGACCCCGGGACCUUUACUAUACCUUGGUAUUGGCAUUCGGUGUGGAUUGUGUAGCAUAGGCGGAAGGCUUCGAAGCCACGGCGCCAGCCGCGGUGGAGCCGCAAGGUGAAAUACCGCUCUGUUCGCAUUGGAUGUCUAACCUCGACCAGUCAUCCUGGUCAGGGACAGUGCCUGGCGGGUAGUUUAACUGGGGCGGUUGCCUCCCAAAGAGUAACGGAGGCGCUCAAAGGUUCCCUCAGCCCGGUUGGCAAUCGGGUGGCGAGUGUAAGUGCACAAGGGAGCUUGACUGCGAGACUGACGGGUCGAGCAGGGACGAAAGUCGGAACUAGUGAUCCGGUGCCGGUGUACGGACGCGGCAUCGCUCAAC